rnacentral:lncRNA from 1 species
CAGCCAAAUUCAAGACUACGGUGUGAGACUCAAUAGAUACCAGACCUUUGGGACAGCGAUCUGAUUCGCUUUUGUGUGGAAGGGACCAAAUCGAGUUUCCUCGUCUCCGGUGGCGCCAAGUUCCGUUCGUUCGCCAUAAAGCCGCCUUGAUGUUUCUCCACAUCCCCUCGCACGUGUCUUACACGAAACGGUUCCUACCGACGCCGAGCUGAAUCUUCCUCCACGCAACAAACCCCCACCGCAUGUCCCCUUCGCGUUCUCCCGGGGCUGACUGGUCUGUUCGCUUUUAACUCCCGUCGUGCAUCUUGAUCGGUGCAUCGCUUCGUGGAAAAAACGUAUCUGCCUAAGCGGAAAGAGGUGCGUAUGCCUCGUCGUCAAUUAGCAAAGCUCUCCGCGCUCUUCACGCCUCGGGUCCUUCCCAUCACGAGUUCCUUCAGCCAUGACGCGCCGACGGGACGACGAGUGUUUUUCCUCUCUUCCAACGAAGGAAAACCACGUAGUGGUUCGUUCUUCACCCUCGCGCUCUCAGAGCUGCGUGCACCGCAAAGGACCGAGACCGCGCGCGCCGCGGAGGGCAAUCAACACGACAGUUGGUUUUCCUCUCGACGGCUCAAGCGAAGCGGAUUCCUGGACAGUUCACAGAUCCGAGAGACGCGAGCGAGAAGGGCCCCUCUGGGAGAGAACAGGAAGCCCGCAAAAGAACUUUGCCGCUUUGCCCCAGCAGCAAGCUGACUGGAGCGAGCGGCAAGACGCGCUCGGCGAAUCCUUAGCGCGACUCCGAGUCGCACAAAUCCAGUCCCUUGAAAAGGAGACGGGGGUUGGCGGAAGACGCCCUUCUGCGGAAACACGUGAGGCGGCGCGGGGGGGAAACGACUUGCAACACCAGAGGCGAAGGCGAAACAGGGAAAGACGAGACCGCGAGACGAGCUCCGACGCUUCGUCCACGAACAGCACAGACGCUGCGGGCUUCUUCUUGUUCUCAGAGAGGAGAGGAAACAGAGACAGCGCACAGGCAAAGGGGAGCGCAGAACAGGGAAGGAAGGGAACGACGGAGGGGAAGAAUUACGGGGAACGCAAAACAGACAAAAGCCCGUACUCGCCCGAAUUUAACUUCACAGAUAAUCCAGGGUUCCUCCACAAAGUUGUGAUAUAUGUGCUCGUGCUUCUCUGUGCCCCGGACCUUUGGGGCAAGGAUCUCUUUCCAUGCAUUGAACAGGUGAUGCAACACCAACGGAGCUGUGCCGAA